UACGAAGGGGGCUAGCGUUGCUCGGAAUUACUGGGCGUAAAGGGCGCGUAGGCGGACAGUUUAGUCAGAGGUGAAAGCCCAGGGCUCAACCUUGGAAUUGCCUUUGAUACUGGCUGUCUUGAGUUCGGGAGAGGUAAGUGGAAUGCCGAGUGUAGAGGUGAAAUUCGUAGAUAUUCGGCGGAACACCAGUGGCGAAGGCGACUUCUGGCCCGAUACUGACGCUGAGGUGCGAAAGCGUGGGGAGCAAACAGG
rnacentral:rRNA from 1 species